GAUGAACGCUGGCGGCGUGCCUAAUACAUGCAAGUCGAGCGAACAGACGAGGAGCUUGCUCCUCUGACGUUAGCGGCGGACGGGUGAGUAACACGUGGAUAACCUACCUAUAAGACUGGGAUAACUUCGGGAAACCGGCGCUAAUACCGUAUAACAUGUUGAACCGCAUGGUUCAACAGUGAAAGACGGUCUUGCUGUCACUUAUAGAUGGAUCCGCGCCGCAUUAGCUAGUUGGUAAGGUAACGGCUUACCAAGGCAACGAUGCGUAGCCGACCUGAGAGGGUGAUCGGCCACACUGGAACUGAGACACGGUCCAGACGCCUACGGGAGGCAGCAGUAGGGAAUCUGCCGCAAUGGGCGAAAGCCUGACGGAGCAACGCCGCGUGAGUGAAGAAGGUCUUCGGAUCGUAAAACUCUGUUAUUAGGGAAGAACAAAUGUGUAAGUAACUAUGCACGUCUUGACGGUACCUAAUCAGAAAGCCACGGCUAACUACGUG
rnacentral:rRNA from 1 species